UCUCAGUUCGGAUUGGGGUCUGCAACUCGACCCCAUGAAGUCGGAAUCGCUAGUAAUCGCGUAACAGCAUGACGCGGUGAAUACGUUCCCGGGCCUUGUACACACCGCCCGUCACACCAUGGGAGUUGGUUCUACCUGACGGCCGUGCGCUAACCUUCGGGAGGCAGCGGACCACGGUAGGAUCAGCGACUGGGGUGAAGUCGUAACAAGGUAGCCGUAGGGGAACCUGCGGCUGGAUCACCUCCUU
rnacentral:rRNA from 14 species